rnacentral:rRNA from 1 species
UUGCUGACCGUUUAUUGGUGUGAUAACUAUCUACGCUAUUGACAGUGAAGCAGGUUCAGCUUUAUAGCAGUCCAUUGACUUGGACAAACCUUUAUUAAUGUGACCUCAAAUCAGGUAGGACUACCCGCUGAACUUAAGCAUAUCAAUAAGCGGAGGAAAAGAAACUAACAAGGAUUCCCCUAGUAACUGCGAGUGAAGCGGGAAAAGCUCAAAUUUAAAAUCUGUCAGUCUUUGGCUGUCCGAGUUGUAAUCUAGAGAAGCGUUGUCUGCGCUGGACCGUGUACAAGUCUCCUGGAAUGGAGCAUCAUAGAGGGUGAGAAUCCCGUCUUUGACACGGACUGCCAGGGCUUUGUGAUGCGCUCUCGAAGAGUCGAGUUGUUUGGGAAUGCAGCUCAAAAUGGGUGGUAAAUUCCAUCUAAAGCUAAAUAUUGGCGAGAGACCGAUAGCGAACAAGUACCGUGAGGGAAAGAUGAAAAGAACUUUGGAAAGAGAGUUAAACAGUACGUGAAAUUGCUGAAAGGGAAACGCUUGAAGUCAGUCACGUUGUCCAGGGAUCAACCUUGCUUUUGCUUGGUGUACUUUCUGGUUGACGGGUCAGCAUCAAUUUUGACUACUGGAAAAAGAUUGAGGGAAUGUGGCAUCUUUGGAUGUGUUAUAGCCCUUGGUUGCAUACAGUGGUUGAGAUUGAGGAACUCAGCAUGCCGCAAGGCCGGGUUU